GUAUUUUAUGUUUUGUUGAUAUUUAUCAGUAUAAUUAUAGUCAUGAGUACUGUCAGUGGCGUAUAUCUUCCAAUUAUAAAGUUAUUCGAUUUGAAGUGAUUGAUUCCGAUUUAGGGCCUAAACCUGCCUAUGGCGACGAAGAUUAUGCCAAGGUCUAUGACGGUUAUGAUAGAUAUCGCAACCUUUUGGGUAAACUGAACAGUACAUAUGCACCGACAUUAUUCAGCUCUGGUUCCUAUCUUUAUAUUGAAUUUUUAUCCAAUUCGAAUGGUGGUUAUAAAGGGUUUAAAGUAAAAUAUUUCACGAUGUCAGAUAUUGUACCAGGGGAAGGUAGCUCAUCAAAUCAGAUAGUCAAACAUAUACCCUGCCUUGGUAAUCACGACGAUAUAUGUAUGGAAAUUUGAAAAAAAAUGUACUUUUCUGUGAUUAUUUCAGAAGAACCUGGGAUUUUAGGUGGAAUAAUUGGCGUCGUUACAUUGUUGGGUAUCUUUAUAUUUGUAUUCAUAUGUAUUUUCUGGAUGGAUAGAAAAAACAAAAUCCUGAGACAAUCGCGAUUGAACAGCCAAAGUGUCCACUUUAACACUUCCAAUAAUACCGUAUUUGUUGUUCCACCAGUUUAUGAUGCAAACAAUACGUCAUCACCCCCACCAUCUAAUCCAGAAUAUAAUAUCGCAGCACCUUACUAUCCUGGAAACAUACCCUCAGUACCACCACCACCUUAUUCCGAAUUACCAGCCUAUGAAGACUCAGCCAAAUAUGAAAUACCUGAAACUAGAAGCCACCCAGAGCAAAAUCCGGUACCAGAACCACAACGGCAGAUAGCAAGGGAGUAGUAGAGGACAGAGGUACCUCUUGGCUACGGAUUGGACCUAAUCAGUGUUGAUGCAUUGUUCUAUCCUACAUGUAUAAAUAGAAUAUCUAUUGUUUUCUGAACAAUGGAAUAAGAAUGAUAGCUAAAUAUCUAUUGUGUUAAGAUGUCAGGUGGCUGUCCUAAGAUUGACCUGCGUUCGUGUUGCAUCAUAAGGUCAUAAGGGCGCCUGUCCAACCUCGCGGGUUUUCUCUGAGUUCUCUGGUUUCUUCAGUCCCAAAAUGACUUAGUUUGAUGUCGAGUGGACGUUAAACCCCAUUUCUCUCUCGUAGGUUUCCUUCCAGUGCUAACGAUCCCAACGAGCAAGCGAAUUAAUGAAAUAAAAUUAAACCACACUUUAGUCACAAAAUGGCUAAGUUCCAUGUCGAGUGGACGUGAACCCCCAUUUCUCUUUCAUGGGUUUCCAUCGCGUAUUCCGGUGUCUCCCCUCACUGCUAAUUGAAAUAUAAUUGUGUCAUAUGUUAGUCCCGAAAUGGCUUAGUUUGAUGUCGAGUGGUGGUUAAACCCUAUCUCUCUCUAGUAUCACAUAACUGUGCAUUGGUUUAUAUCAGAGGAUUUGGGACGAACUAGAAUAGACAAAUGGAGUCAGUUAAUACAUCAUUAUGUAAAAUAAGGUUAGUUUAUAGUGAUAUCGUCUAAUUUCAAGCGAAGUAAACCCUUGAUUCAAUAUACAAUAGAUCAUAAGAUGUAACUCUCACUAAUCCAGUGAUUGUUCUAAGGACAUCAAGAUUUACGUUUUCAGGUACAGUGCCUUCGUUUUUAGUACAAUUAUUUCAGAUUACGUCCACGUAGUCGAAUAAUGGUAAUAUAAAAGCUUUGUAUAUUGUUUCUAGGGACCUUCUGCUUAAAUACUUUAAACGUCUAUAACAUUAAAUUUGGUUUAUUCCCACGAAGGCGCAGUUAUUGACAGUAGGUCGUUUUCGACGCCUUCGUGGGAAUCCAGCUCCUAGGGAUUAAAAUUGAUUAAAAACGUAACAAUGGUGUUAUAGAUUGUUAUGAUAAGAAUUUACACUUUAAAUAGUACCCAAUGUAACUAAUUAACCAAGAUUUUAGCAUCGUUUUUGGAAUAAGAAAUACAAAUAUAACUACACUAUAACAAAAAUUAAUUUAAUUUCGCCAAAUAUGACACCCUGUCUAAAUACUCGACUAAAAUCUAUUCCUCUUUCUCGUGUCUUCCUUUUAAUUUCUGAAGCGGGCUUUGGAUUUGAGCAUAUUUAUAUCUUUUUCUUGGUGGUUCCUUUCCCCUAGCAUACUGAACGAUUCUAAUCGCAUUAAUAUUUUGUUCUUGUUGUAAAAAUGUGAUCAUUUCAAAAACAUUCGGAUGGGCUUUUCCUACUAGCUUCUUGAUUCUUGCAUGCCAUCCUUCCAGAGUGCUGUUGAUUCUGUGCUCCCCUGUGUCGUAGUGGUCCCACUGAUAUCGUCCUCCGCGACUUGUAGGUACAAAGCUGAAUUUCGGUUGUUGUUGUUGUUGUUUAUUACAAAUUUAACGUCCAAUACAUAAUGUAUUAUAUUAUGGACAGGUUGAUUUAAUUAAGUUAUUUACAUCUGAAUGAGUAAAAUAUAGAAGUUAGGUAAAAGCACUAAAUAAUAAAAAGUUCUUGUAUAUCUAAACGUCACUUUAAAACAGAUUUAAAAUGAUUAAAAGUUCUUGUAUAUCUAAAAAUCACUUUAAAACACGGUUUUAAAAAUGGUUUUAAAAUCGUUGUCGCGGAAAGAGAGGGCGGGUCAUCUUCUCACUUUGUCAUAAUGAAAGUUAAAAUGGGAGAUCCAGCUGUUUGAUGCCAUCGCAGCGGAUCGAAAAAACCUUGUGGGAAAAAGAAUCCACUGUUUAAUGUGGAAAAGCGAAGUUCUCGCAGUGAAAACCACAUAGCUGGAUCCGUGGAGUAUUUACAUAUGAAUAUGGCCGUGUGGUUCUUUCCAUAUUAUAAAAGUUAGUUAAAACAAAUCCUUUAGCACAGAAUUUCGGAUAGUGUAACGGAAUUUUAUACAUCUUUAAAUAUGACACUGAUUGAGAGUGAUUUGAUGAUAUUCAUCAUUCAAUUGGUGAUUAAGAUUCAUAUUGAAUACUUGGAUAAUUUAAUGAUUUUAAUCAUUAGUUGCCAAUUGGUGAAUAAAAUUCAGAGUGAUCAUAAAUUCAUAAAAUCUUUAACACCGUUAAUUAGGUCCUAAUAACAACAUGCCCCUCUUCAAACGAAAGCCGACAUCUGCGCCUUCGUGGGAAGGAUUAAUUUUGGUCACGCUCUGUAACUGCGCCUUCGUGGGAAUACACCUUAAAUUUAAUAAGUACUUUAAUAACGGUAUAAUUAUUAUGAGCAUCCCCAUUACAAUUAUUACUUCUUAUGUUCUUUGCUAUCAGUUAUUUUAUGUAUGUAUUUAAAAUGAAAGUUCCGUAAUCUAUAGUUACCGCUUAUUUUUGCUCAAAUUGAAUAUGCGCGAGAUUUCCAUUUCAUCUAAAAUAAAAAUUAUUCUCUUUUUCCCCAUGUAUUUCUUGAUUAUGGUUUGGUAGAUUCAACUCGUGAGUAAAUGCCCUUUUAUAAAUCUGAUCCCAUAUGUUUAUACAUAAACAUUUGAAAUAUAUGUAUAUAUAAUAUUUUGGUUGAUAUUGUCAGAAAACAUUUCUGUUUUGUAUUAUCUGUGCAAACUCAUGGUUGAUUGUAUUCACGAAAUGCUUUAUUACUAUUCUUUACUCUAUUAAUUAAAACAUCUUUUUUGCAACCAGCCAAAAAUACAACAUUAUCAUUCAUUAGUUCUAUAUAUUACUUCAAUGCAACUUCUAUUAGUUAAUUGAAUUGUGAAGUUUAAGAAAUUUAAUCGUCGAUUAUAAACAUUCAGAGAGAGAGAGAGAGAGAGAGAGAGAGAGAGAGAUGGGUUAAAGUCCACUCGACACAAACUAGGUCGUUUCGGGACUAACAUAUGGUUUAAUUUUAUUUCAAUAAUUCGCUUGCGCGUAGGGGUCUUUAGCAGUGGGAGGAAACCGGAUAUACAUUCAGACCUAGAACAUAAAAAAAUUCAUUAUCGCAGUUUAAAAGUUGUCUUUGAUAUCACCGUCAGAUUCAAAUAAUAUUCUCUAGAUAAACAGCUGAUCUCUAACACAAUAGAUAAUUUACCUAUCAUUCAUAUUUCAUUAUUCAGAGAACAAUAGAUACUCUAUUUAUACAACAAAACUAUGCGUCAACACUGAUUAGGUCCAAUCCGUAACCAAGUUCAACCCCUACUACUCAAGGUAUCCACAACAGUUCAGCGUACGAAGGCGUAACGAUUCAACCCAGUCCAUAGGCAGCCAAGAAGUCUUAGCUUUUAUAGUAGACGAAAGGGAAGUGACAGGCAUUGACAAUCAAAUCAAUCACCCAAAUUAUUCCAUUCCACUAUAUCUUAACAAUUCGUCCAAGUUUUAUAUGGAUUUGUAAAUUAAAACAUAUCUUCCUUGUAUAAAUCAGCGAAAAUCCUUUAAAUCCAAAGAUGUGUUUUUAUGUAGAAAAUAUUAUUUAAAGAAAUUGUUGAAUACACGUAUUUGCAUAAUAGUUAACAUGUAAAUGUAAUUAUUCUGUUUGUAAGGUCAGCUUUCAGAAACCUGUCUAUAUCUCUGUUAAAUGCCCUAUACAUUAAUAAACUGCGUUAUAUGAUGGGUUUUAUCUUGCAUAACUAUUUGACUUUAUCAAACACAAUAUUGUUGAUUAUACGUAUUUGCAUAAUAGUGAAGGGGUGAAUUUAAAUAUUUUGAAAGGAAUCGCAUGUUUAAAUACUUUUCGCCGAUAAAUUUUGGAAUUUGUUGGUCUGCAUUACAUUAAAGAUGCAUUAUGUAAGAGAUAAAUCUGUCCAUUGAAGGUUUUUAUUUGGGCUUCAAAUGUUAUAUAAAUUAUUAUUUAGACAUUUAUUAUUCACAUGGCAAGGCUAUAAGAAACUCUCUAGAUCAUCAGAUGGGGGGAAACUAAAACAGAUUGAAACUUAAAAAUUGAGAAGGGAGGCUGAAUUGCGAUAAACAAUUAACGUUGCUACGAUAGUAAACAAUCUGCGCUACAUCUUCCAACAACCAUGCUUCGCUCAGAAUAAAGUAAUUUAAAUGAAAUUUUCAACCAUUAUCUAUUUUUGAACUAUUAUAGCAAGAACGACGUCCUCUGUGUCUAAAUAUAUAUGUAGGAUUUAUUCCCGCAUAAAUAUUUGACUUUUAUCAAACAGAAAAUACACAUUAUGUAGAUCGAUAAUAGCCGUUGUUGGAGUUAUUACCAGAACUGACAGGAAUCAUUUACGGCCAGGUUCUAAUUCGUAAAACUAAUGAAGCGUGGCCCGAUUCCCAACAAAACCAUGGAUUAUUCUGUCGAGUGGAUCGACUCGAAUGAAAAGAUAUCUAUUAUGUUACAUGUGUUUGUGUACGCCAAUAAAACUUUAAAACCUGAGAUCCCAAUAUGCUGAUUUGAAUACUAUUAUAGUAAUAUUUUAUUUCCAAGCCCAAUAUAAUGAUCAGUGUAAUGAACCCCUCCUAUUAUGAUUAUUUAUUACACUUUCUGUUAUUCUAAAUAAUGACAGGUAUGGAUCAUAACUUGUAGUUGUACUAAGUUUCAAGUUUCAACACAACUCUAGGCAGAAACAUUAUGCUGUGUCCUCUGUUAGUAUUUCUAUUACGGACAAAUAAACACAAUCAAAUAUAUACUUAUAUAUUAUAUUUUAACUCAAAUCAUAGAAGUCGUGUCAUUUUGGUAUUUAAGGUGUAUUCAAUUUGUUUUCUUCAAGUGAACCAAUGAAUGUAUGUGACCAAUGAUGAAAUAAUUUGUCGUUUUUAAAACGUUUGUCAUUUUGAGCGUGUUGCUGUAGGGACAUUAUUAGGUUCAAGACGCAACAUUUGUGUUUUAGUGGUUUCAUUUAUUUUUUAACGACCUGCUAUUGUUUUGUUUUGUUAUUCCGUUCACGUUACAUCAUGUUAUAUGUUUCACCAUUGGCCUUGCAGCCUUUGUAUAUUACAGUAUUACAAAUAUUAAAAAACAAAAUAUGCAUAAAGUUAACUAAGUAUAUAAGGAUAAACUUGUUUAUAUCGUUAGCUUUUAUAUUUGGUAAUUAAUUAAAAAAAAACCGAAUUAAU